UACGAAGGGGGGCUAGCGUUGCUCGGAAUCACUGGGCGUAAAGCGCACGUAGGCGGAUUCCUAAGUCGGGGGUGAAAUCCUGGAGCUCAACUCCAGAACUGCCUUCGAUACUGGGAAUCUUGAGUCCGGAAGAGGUGAGUGGAACUGCGAGUGUAGAGGUGAAAUUCGUAGAUAUUCGCAAGAACACCAGUGGCGAAGGCGGCUCACUGGCCCGGUACUGACGCUGAGGUGCGAAAGCGUGGGGAGCAAACAGGG
rnacentral:rRNA from 1 species